UAAGGAAUAUUGGUCAAUGGACGCAAGUCUGAACCAGCCAUGCUGCGUGAAGGAUUAAGGCCCUCUGGGUUGUAAACUUCUUUUAUAGGGGAAGGAAUGUGACGGUUCUCCGUCACUUGACGGUACCCUGGGAAUAAGCACCGGCUAACUCCGUGCCAGCAGCCGCGGUAAUACGGAGGGUGCAAGCGUUAUCCGGAUUCACUGGGUUUAAAGGGUGCGUAGGUGGGCAGAUAAGUCAGUGGUGAAAUCUUCCGGCUUAACCGGGAAACUGCCGUUGAUACUAUUUGUCUUGAAUAUUGCGGAGGUUAGCGGAAUAUGUCAUGUAGCGGUGAAAUGCUUAGAUAUGACAUAGAACACCAAUUGCGAAGGCAGCUUACUACACAAUCAUUGACACUGAGGCACGAAAGCGUGGGUAGCGAACA
rnacentral:rRNA from 1 species